UACGAAGGGGCUAGCGUUGCUCGGAAUCACUUGGCGUAAAGGGUGCGUAGGCGGGUCUUUAAGUCAGGGGUGAAAUCCUGGAGCUCAACUCCAGAACUGCCUUUGAUACUGAGGAUCUUGAGUUCGGGAGAGGUGAGUGGAACUGCGAGUGUAGGGGUGAAAUUCGUAGAUAUUCGCAAGAACACCAGUGGCGAAGGCGGCUCACUGGCCCGAUACUGACGCUGAUGCACGAAAGCGUGGGGAGCAAACAGG
rnacentral:rRNA from 1 species